GGAGCUCGCACUGCUGGCCAACAGGGCACGGCGCCCAGGAUGCGCAUUGAGUUCCUCUCGCGGGCUGCUGGGAGUCGAGGAUCUCUCCCGACUGCGGCCUCAGGUCUGAGCGCUGAAGCUCUGAGAGAUGGUAUUUCCAGUAUGAAUUUCCACCAGCAGUGCAUGAGAGUUCUGAAUUCCCUACAUUCUUUCUACACUUACGGUCCACUCUAACAAAGGCCAACACUUACCUGAAAGAAAUUGAUGUCCCUUCCUAAAAUUCAUAUUCUUUCCUCUCUGAAAGGAAGCAAACUGGCAGAAAAUAAGUAAUUUCAUUUAAAUUAAAUGACUGGAAAUUAUAUAGAAGAGUCUGGAGAAAAUGAAAGGACGAUUUUUAAAGACAAAUUAUAAUAAAAGGAUUCGGGUCUUCCCUGGUGGAGCAGUGGUUAAGAAUCCUCCUGCCAAUGCAAGUGACACAGGU